rnacentral:lncRNA from 1 species
ACAGAGAAACUGGCAGAAAAUGAAUCCAUGGAGAUUUUGACAAGACCCCUCUAAGCAAGAUCUAAAGACAACAUCAGAUGGAGUUGUCUGUGGAUUAUGUACGUAUUGUCAGAGACAUUCAUGCAAAAUAAUGGGUUUGGUGGUGACAGGGUUACAGCCACAACAAGAAAGUGAGAUACAGUUAGUGGAAUUCUCAAGUGCUCUCUUAGGAUGAAUAAACCUUAAGAAAGAACACCCUGCUUUUGUAACAGAUGAAGAAAGGCUAUGGAAGAGACAGAUUCUGGAGGAUGCAGCAUUCAAGGUUCUAUCUUGGAAGCAGAGACUGUGCCCUCACCAGAUGCUGAACCUGCUGAGCACCCUGAUCUUCCACUUCACCUUCAUCAGAACUGUGAGAAUUAACUUUCUAUUAUUUAUAAAUUACUCAGUCUAAGAUAUUUUGUUAUAGCAGCAGGAUCAGAUUGAGACAAGGAAUUUAUACCAAUUUAGACUAUGCAUGAAUCCACAAGAAUCCAAGUGGCACAAGAAUCUAGCACCAAAAUGGCAGCUCAGGGAAAGCUGAUUCAGUUUAACGUUCAAAAGAAGAGGCAAAACUAAUUCUAGAAACUUGUUCCCUUGAGAUGCUCGGAGACGUGCCCUGGUUUAGAAAGAAAAUACAGAAUGGAAGCUUUGCUCUAAAAGACAGGUUCUUGCAUUAGAAAAAGGGUUACUUCGGACUCACUGGCUCUAAAUAAAUUAGUCAGGAGAAAACUAAUGAAUGUUACCAUGGAAUUAUCCAUAGGACUUAACCUUCUCAAAAUAGUUGUGAGUGGGAUGAAAGAGCAACAAUGAGUUAACCAGAGACACUGGAAGGUGUUAAUUAGAAAAAAAAUAUAUCGUAUAGAAACAAAUGUUGGUACAAGCAUACAAGUAAAAUUUUCAACUGUGUCAUUAAUACUUUCAUUGUAUAAUUAAUUUCUAGGGUGCUAAGAAUUCUGAAUUUAUUGAGGAAAUAAAUGUCUGAUUGCAACAAAAGAAAACUUGUCUGGCUUUGGGAAGGAAGAGGCUUAGGAAAAAAAUUAAAGGCGUCUUUACUAGAAGUUCAAGACUGGGGCUGUGGCUGAGAUGUCACAUGGCAGAUAGGAUCACAAAUUUCUGUUGUAUCUGGAUGGAGAUCAGCAGGAGGAUCUAUGGGUGAGAAGAAGCACAGUUACAGAUGGAUUCUAGAGCCUGCUUGCUGACACAGGCUUGCAACUGCGGACUUUAUAAGCUUAGUUUUUAAUCUGCUAUCAGCUAGCAUAAUACCAUAAAUGCAUAAGAAACUAAGUAUUCAGUCUUACGAGAAAUGCUAUCUUGACCUGACCCUUUCUCCAAAUAAAUUGACAAAAUAUCUCAUCGUCUAGGAUGCCAGACAGAAAUACCAGUUGCAAUGUUUUGUUGCAUAAAGUUUA